UACGUAGGGGGCUAGCGUUGUCCGGAAUCAUUGGGCGUUAAGCGCGCGUAGGCGGCCCGGUAAGUCCGCUGUGAAAGUCAAAGGCUCAACCUUUGAAUGUCAGCGGAUACUGCCGGGCUAGAGUCCGGAAGAGGCGAGUGGAAUUCCUGGUGUAGCGGUGGAAUGCGCAGAUAUCAGGAGGAACACCAACGGCGAAGGCAGCUCGCUGGGACGGUACUGACGCUGAGGCGCGAAAGCGUGGGGAGCGAACAGG
rnacentral:rRNA from 1 species